CAAUAGCGUAUAUUUAAGUUGUUGCAGUUAAAAAGCUCGUAGUUGGAUUUCGGGUGGGACGCAGCGGUCUCGCAUUGCGUUUGUACUGCUGCAGCCCUCCUUCUUGCCGGGGGCGGCCUCUCGGACUUCACUGUCUGGGGGUCAGAAUCGGCGAUGUUACUUUGAGUAAAUUAGAGUGUUCAAAGCAAGCUUACGCUCUGAAUAUAAUAGCAUGGGAUAACACGACAGGACUCUGGCCUAUCGUGUUGGUCUAUAGGACCAGAGUAAUGAUUAAGAGGGACAGUCGGGGGCAUUCGUAUUCCGUUGUCAGAGGUGAAAUUCUUAGAUUCGUUGAGGACCAACCACUGCGAAAGCAUUUGUCAAGGAUGUCUCCAUUAA
rnacentral:rRNA from 1 species